AGGUUAAUGAGGCGAACCGGGGGAACUGAAACAUCUAAGUACCCCGAGGAAAAGAAAUCAACCGAGAUUCCCCCAGUAGCGGCGAGCGAACGGGGAGCAGCCCAGAGCCUGAAUCAGUGUGUGUGUUAGUGGAAGCGUCUGGAAAGGCGCGCGAUACAGGGUGACAGCCCCGUACACAAAAAUGCACAUGCUGUGAGCUCGAUGAGUAGGGCGGGACACGUGGUAUCCUGUCUGAAUAUGGGGGGACCAUCCUCCAAGGCUAAAUACUCCUGACUGACCGAUAGUGAACCAGUACCGUGAGGGAAAGGCGAAAAGAACCCCGGCGAGGGGAGUGAAAAAGAACCUGAAACCGUGUACGUACAAGCAGUGGGAGCACAGAGCAAUCUGUGUGACUGCGUACCUUUUGUAUAAUGGGUCAGCGACUUAUAUUCUGUAGCAAGGUUAACCGAAUAGGGGAGCCGAAGGGAAACCGAGUCUUAACUGGGCGUUAAGUUGCAGGGUAUAGACCCGAAACCCGGUGAUCUAGCCAUGGGCAGGUUGAAGGUUGGGUAACACUAACUGGAGGACCGAACCGACUAAUGUUGAAAAAUUAGCGGAUGACUUGUGGCUGGGGGUGAAAGGCCAAUCAAACCGGGAGAUAGCUGGUUCUCCCCGAAAGCUAUUUAGGUAGCGCCUCGUGAAUUCAUCUCCGGGGGUAGAGCACUGUUUCGGCAAGGGGGUCAUCCCGACUUACCAACCCGAUGCAAACUGCGAAUACCGGAGAAUGUUAUCACGGGAGACACACGGCGGGUGCUAACGUCCGUCGUGAAGAGGGAAACAACCCAGACCGCCAGCUAAGGUCCCAAAGUCAUGGUUAAGUGGGAAACGAUGUGGGAAGGCCCAGACAGCCAGGAUGUUGGCUUAGAAGCAGCCAUCAUUUAAAGAAAGCGUAAUAGCUCACUGGUCGAGUCGGCCUGCGCGGAAGAUGUAACGGGGCUAAACCAUGCACCGAAGCUGCGGCAGCGACGCUUAUGCGUUGUUGGGUAGGGGAGCGUUCUGUAAGCCUGUGAAGGUGUACUGUGAGGUAUGCUGGAGGUAUCAGAAGUGCGAAUGCUGACAUAAGUAACGAUAAAGCGGGUGAAAAGCCCGCUCGCCGGAAGACCAAGGGUUCCUGUCCAACGUUAAUCGGGGCAGGGUGAGUCGACCCCUAAGGCGAGGCCGAAAGGCGUAGUCGAUGGGAAACAGGUUAAUAUUCCUGUACUUGGUGUUACUGCGAAGGGGGGACGGAGAAGGCUAUGUUGGCCGGGCGACGGUUGUCCCGGUUUAAGCGUGUAGGCUGGUUUUCCAGGCAAAUCCGGAAAAUCAAGGCUGAGGCGUGAUGACGAGGCACUACGGUGCUGAAGCAACAAAUGCCCUGCUUCCAGGAAAAGCCUCUAAGCAUCAGGUAACAUCAAAUCGUACCCCAAACCGACACAGGUGGUCAGGUAGAGAAUACCAAGGCGCUUGAGAGAACUCGGGUGAAGGAACUAGGCAAAAUGGUGCCGUAACUUCGGGAGAAGGCACGCUGAUAUGUAGGUGAAGUCCCUCGCGGAUGGAGCUGAAAUCAGUCGAAGAUACCAGCUGGCUGCAACUGUUUAUUAAAAACACAGCACUGUGCAAACACGAAAGUGGACGUAUACGGUGUGACGCCUGCCCGGUGCCGGAAGGUUAAUUGAUGGGGUCAGCGCAAGCGAAGCUCUUGAUCGAAGCCCCGGUAAACGGCGGCCGUAACUAUAACGGUCCUAAGGUAGCGAAAUUCCUUGUCGGGUAAGUUCCGACCUGCACGAAUGGCGUAAUGAUGGCCAGGCUGUCUCCACCCGAGACUCAGUGAAAUUGAACUCGCUGUGAAGAUGCAGUGUACCCGCGGCAAGACGGAAAGACCCCGUGAACCUUUACUAUAGCUUGACACUGAACAUUGAGCCUUGAUGUGUAGGAUAGGUGGGAGGCUUUGAAGUGUGGACGCCAGUCUGCAUGGAGCCGACCUUGAAAUACCACCCUUUAAUGUUUGAUGUUCUAACGUUGACCCGUGAUCCGGGUUGCGGACAGUGUCUGGUGGGUAGUUUGACUGGGGCGGUCUCCUCCUAAAGAGUAACGGAGGAGCACGAAGGUUGGCUAAUCCUGGUCGGACAUCAGGAGGUUAGUGCAAUGGCAUAAGCCAGCUUGACUGCGAGCGUGACGGCGCGAGCAGGUGCGAAAGCAGGUCAUAGUGAUCCGGUGGUUCUGAAUGGAAGGGCCAUCGCUCAACGGAUAAAAGGUACUCCGGGGAUAACAGGCUGAUACCGCCCAAGAGUUCAUAUCGACGGCGGUGUUUGGCACCUCGAUGUCGGCUCAUCACAUCCUGGGGCUGAAGUAGGUCCCAAGGGUAUGGCUGUUCGCCAUUUAAAGUGGUACGCGAGCUGGGUUUAGAACGUCGUGAGACAGUUCGGUCCCUAUCUGCCGUGGGCGCUGGAGAACUGAGGGGGGCUGCUCCUAGUACGAGAGGACCGGAGUGGACGCAUCACUGGUGUUCGGGUUGUCAUGCCAAUGGCACUGCCCGGUAGCUAAAUGCGGAAGAGAUAAGUGCUGAAAGCAUCUAAGCACGAAACUUGCCCCGAGAUGAGUUCUCCCUGACUCCUUGAGAGUCCUGAAGGAACGUUGAAGACGACGACGUUGAUAGGCCGGGUGUGUAAGCGCAGCGAUGCGUUGAGCUAACCGGUACUAAUGAACCGUGAGG
rnacentral:rRNA from 1 species